rnacentral:rRNA from 1 species
AGAGUUUGAUCAUGGCUCAGGAUGAACGCUAGCGGCACGCUUCAUACAUGCAAGUCGAGGGGCAGCAUAAAUUACUUGUAAUUUGAUGGCGACCGGCGAACGGGUGCGUAACGCGUAUGCAACUUACCUUUUACUAGAGAAUAGCCAAGAGAAAUUUUGAUUAAUGCUCUAUACUCUUAUUAACUCACAUGAGUUUUUAAGAAAAGCUCCGGCGGUAAAAGAUGGGCAUGCGUCCUAUUAGCUUGUAGGUGAGGUAACGGCUCACCUAAGCUCCGAUAGGUAGGGGUCCUGAGAGGGAGAUCCCCCACACUGGUACUGAGACACGGACCAGACUUCUACGGAAGGCAGCAGUAAGGAAUAUUGGACAAUGGAGGAAACUCUGAUCCAGCGAUGCCGCGUGAAGGAAGACGGCCCUAUGGGUUGUAAACUUCUUUUAUACAGGAAUAAACCUAUCCACGUGUGGAUAGCUGAAGG